rnacentral:lncRNA from 1 species
AUGGGGGACCAUGAGACUGUCAUCGAAAGGGAUGAGCAGAGAGAAAUUGAACAGAAGUUUGAGGAACUCUUGUUGGAUUACCAGAUCAGUGAAAAUGAAAGCCUGCAAGAUGUCACAUUUGAAGACAGGAUGAGAAACCUCCAGACUGAGCUGACAGUCCAAUACUUUAGAGAGAAGCACCUCUCCCUUUGGCCUCUUUUUACCUUAGAGAAUGCCAUCAUGUAUGAAGAUCUCUCUCUAACUGAGAGGUUCUGUAUCCUUAAGGCCGUGACAGAGGUAACACUGGCAGGCAACCCGGAUGCCGUCAAUGGGGAUGUCCACCAACUUGAGUGUGCCAAGAGGUAUAACUUCCACCUUAGUCUUCUUGAGCAUCUGAAUGGUUCAAAUUCCACUCUGGCAGGUAAACUUCUUUUGGCUUUUUUUGACACAUUUUCAGAUGUGUCUCAGACCAGCAGGGAGCUCCUUAGUCAAAUUCUCUUCAGUAACAUCUGGACACCUGUAGAAAUCCUGCUCUUUCUUCGUGGGGUUGGUUCCAUGGACCAGAAGAAAACAGAUGCAAUCCUUCAUACAGUGCAGACCUACAGGCUGGAUCUUCUCUCCACACUCUCUGCCCUUAGAAGUAAUGAUCCCAAUAAGACUCUGCAAGGUUAUGCAGAAGAAGAAACUGACAAAGAUAUUGACACCAUUUUGAGUGAGAUGCGGGAUGCAAAUUACCCCGAAAAGUUACUCUCUAUAAUGGAGACUGUCUUAGGACAUAUAGAAGAGAAGCUUUCAAAAGAUCCCAUGGUAGACACACAGAAGAAACUGAGCAAGAGAGAAAAAAUGGAAAUGAUCAAAGACUUCAAGAACAAAAUUAAAUUGUUGAAUUUUGCUGAGGCAGACAACACUAUCCUCAAGGAAGUUCUUAUUACAAUGUGUAUUGCUGUUAAAGACUGCACAGCCGUUUCCACUCAAAGUGGAGAGCAAAUCAAGGGAUAUUUUCCCAGACUCACCCAGCUGGCAUCAUUAGUCAUGCUCCUUCUACCAAAGGCAACAUCAGAUAAAGGAUGCCUCUUAGAAAUUGGCACAGGAGAAGGAAAGUCUUGCAUUCUAGCUAUGUUUGCAGCAAUCCAGGCCAUCAGAGGGGCCACAGUCGACAUUGUGACCAGUUCUCCAAUCCUUGCACGACGGGACGAAGAGGAGUGGAGAAAACUUUUUGACAUGUUUGAUAUCACAUCCUCCGUUGUGCCUCCACCGUUGAUGAAGGAGAGCAGCCUUAAAAGCUGUGACAAAAUACUACAGGACGCUUACAAAAGACAGAUUGUGUAUGGAACUGUAAGUGACUUUGCAGCAGACACUUUGAGGCAGGAAUUUGAGAAAAACACCACUCGUGGGGAGAGGAAGUUUGACUUAGUGAUUGUGGAUGAAGUAGAUUACAUGACCUUGGACAGUGGAGUGCAGGUGACCUUCCUGUCUCAUGAAGCCAGCGGCCUUAGGCACGUUGAGCAAGUCCUUGCUAGCAUUUGGUGCAUGAUAUCCGUGUGUCGGCCUAUUCGAAUGGAAGAAACGGGGGAGACUGAGUGGAUAACUGGGAUACAGCAUUUUCACAAGGCUGCAAAGAUGGCUGUUAUGGGCUCAGACAGAUCUGAACACUUUUCUGAAUUUAAUAUUCUGCAAACAGGGUUGCAGUUUGGAUUUUACACACAGGAAGACAUUGAUACAUUGAUGCAGAGUGAAAGUGAGGCACAAAGAGAUGGUAAAGCUGAUGAUUUUCAAGAUGAGAAUUGGAAAGCUAUUGAGGUGUUCAUGACUAAAAUUGGAGUGGAACAACAAUAUGAUCUGCUCAGUAUUCUUGAGACGGCAUUAGAUCAAACUGUUUUCAUCGACUGUUACACAUUAACAAAUAAUAAAGCCACAUCAAUUGGAGAGAAAAAAAGGGACAGUGACAUGAAAAUCAAAAUGCUUCUCCUCAACAAUGGACGAGCUAGUGAAAUAAUGUCUGAAAAAUCACUAAUUGAUGCAGUUGUUCUUGAGAUACAAUCUAAAAUCAUAUAUUCUGACCAAUGUCAGCCAAACUCAGAGGAAACCGAUAACUAUAUUGUGAUCCCCUUCUUCCUUAAGAAGUACAUUGAGAAUCGGAUGCCAGUCUUUGUGGGAAAUGCCUUAAAAGCUAUUGCAAUGAAACAAGGCAGAGAGUACAUGAUUGGCAUGUCUUCUGACGCUAAUCCAAGCACUGUCAGUGAGUCUGACAAACAUUUCUACCAUGCCAUCAUCCCAGUGGACUACCAGGCCAGUGGAGUACUGGAAAAGAACAAACGCUGGGGUGACGGCCUUCAACAGUUUCUAGAGAUGAAGCACCAGUUGGCCAUAUCAUCGCUAUCCAAUGUUACAAAUUAUAUGUCAAAUAUCCAUUACUUUAAAAGAUACCUUAAAGGGAGUGGCAUAUUUGGUGUUUCUGGAACAUUAGGUGGAAAUGCAGACAAACACUUCUUGAAAAGCCAUUACAAAUCAGACAGCUAUACGAUACCUUCUCACAGGCACAAUAAGGUAGUUGAACUCCCCGCUCUUCAGGUAAGCGGUGAUGACUUAAAAUGGAUAGAGGUAGUCUGUGAAAGUGCAUUGAAAGCUGCCGACAGGAACCAGGUCGUCUUGGUGGUUUGUGAGGAUGUUAAGACAGCAAAUGAAUUACAGGUGGCAAUGGCCAACCGAAGAGCAAAUCAACGACAUCCAAUCACCAUGUACACAAUCAGUGAGAGAGACAACAUUGAGCAAACCACAUUCAGUGGGGGAAGCAUCAUUAUCGCCACCAAUCUGGGAGGACGUGGCACAGACAUUAGAUUGGAGCAGAAAGUGAAUCAAUGCGGCGGACUCUUUGUCCUUCUCACGCACUUUCCUGACAAUCGCAGAGUGGAGAAACAGGUGUUUGGACGCACAGCCAGAAAAGGAAAUUCCGGCAUGGUACAAAUGAUACUCCAUUGUGACCAACUGGCACCAGCGUACCAGGGCCAGCCUGUGGAGAUCAUGAGGCAGCUAAGAGAGGAUCAUGAAAUCCAACGCAUCACUGGUAUGGAGACAAAUGAGCUGCAGGAAAUUGAAAGGAAGGAAAAAUUAUUUUCAACAGUUUGCCAAUUUCUUGACAAUUUUGACAGCAACUACUCAGAAAAAGAGAGAGAGAACCUGUUGACAAUAAAGGUGGAGGAACAUAGUUUCAGACGUCAAGGCGAUAAGCUUGAUUACCAGCCAGCACUCAAUGCUCUGAAAGAAUCCUGGGCAUUGUGGUUGACCCUUCAUGAGACCCAUAUCGAGAAGGAUGAUGAUAUCUCUGACUUGGAAGCAGACUUACUUCAACAAUUGACAAACACAAGGAACAUGAUGUUGAAAGGACAAAGCCGAAAUUUCUAUGACCAUCUGAAGCAGGCUGUUGUUAGAACCAACCUGCACUGCCGUGAUAAAACCAAGUGGGACUAUGAUGCAAAAUCUUCCUGGCAGAAAGCUGCAAAAUGUGACCCCUUUUACAGAGCAGUGGCGCUAUACAACCAAGCUUACAUCACAAUUAACCUGGCAGAGAGUGACCAUAAAACAGAGGCUAGUAAAUUACUGCAGGAAGCAAAAGACACACUAGGUAUCUAUAUCUCUGAAACAACAAACACUUUGAAUGCAUGUCAGAUGGCAAUGAGGGGCAACUUUGAGCCACAUCAUGAUGGUGUCUGCAAUUUCCAAAGUCAGAUGCAAUCUAGGAUGAAUAUUUUCCAAGCAUGGCUGGGAUACAUUAACAGUACACUGAAAAAACUUGCAGAGCUAAAGAACAGUAAAAGUAGCGCCAUAACAGAGGAUUCCUCAGUGUAUGCACUCUCAGACGGGACAGACUAUGUCACCACAAAUGAACUCAUGGGCCUGUAUGAGUACGGCCUUGGCAUGGUGUUCGAAGUAAAAGAGAAGCCAAGGUUCAACAUUGAUGCUCUUGUGUGUUUUUUACUGGGUGCAUGUCAGGUUCUGGCUGGAGUUCUUGUUUGUGCUCUGUCCUAUGGCUCCGCCUCCCAGUUUGGUCUUGCCUUGAUCUCAGAGGGAGUGUCUGACAUGAUCAGUGGGUGUGAUGGCAUGAUAACUGGCAGUUUCAGUUGGGCAUCGUGGGCCAUCUCCAAAAGCAUCGGUAUUGGGAUAUCUUUGCUCACUUCUGGAUUUGGCACCAUCAAGAGAGCUGUCCAGUCUGUAUAUAAAGCCACAAAAGGCUUGCUAACAGGUACAAAAACCCUGUCAUCUGUUGCAAAAGGUGUCAUUAAAUCAGGGAAACAUGCAUUCAUGUCUUUCAAAGGCAGUGUCACAGCGGUCUCCUCUCUGUCCCUAGGUACAGUGAAGAAGCUGGGCACGAAAACUGUAGUCAAACAGACUUUCAAACAUGCAACCAAGUAUGCAGGACAGGAAAUGGCUAAGCAGAUAGUUACCCACACAUUGCAUUACUUCAUUGAUGCAGGGCUUCAAGCUGUACUGAAGGAGAUUUUGAACAAGGCUUUCAAGGAUUCAAUCACCUCUGUAGUUAAAGAGAAUGAUGCAUUGAGUCACACUCUCACAGAGCUUGUAUGUGCUGGAGUUCCAAAAUCAGCUUUACAGAAACAAGCUGCUGAGUUCAAGAUAGACAGGGAGUGUGAAAAAAGUAUUAAAGAUUUAGUAAAAUCAGUGACAGAAAAAAUUAUUUCUGAUCUUAUGAUAGAUUGCAGCACAGUGCAUGAGAUCAUUGACAGAGUCUCUCAGGUGUGUAGCAAAGCGUCAGACCUUAUGGACAACGCAGGAGUGCCUGGAAAAGUCCAAACUGCUAUCUCUGCAAGCCUCUGCAUAGCAGAGUUCAGUACAGUGCUAGUCCAAAUGUUGAACUCUAUCCCUACAGAAAAAUGUAUCAAUGACAGAUUCUCUUCCAAGUUGAUAAAAGAAAUUCAUGCGCAACUGCCAAAUGGGUAUGACCAGGAUGGCAGACACAGACUCCUUGAUGUGGGACGCCUGAAGAAUGAGCUCCUCGAGGGCAUCUCAGAGAAUGUCUCCCAGGAAUUUAUUGAGUCCUGUGCCAGACACAUGAACUCCUUGAUAACACAUAUUUUUAAGGAAAAGAUCAAUAAAGUCACGAACGCCAUUGGCAAUACCACUAGCAACAUGCUUGGCAGGUACAAAACGGAAAACUAUUUCGUAGAGCAGAAGCAGAGGCAUGACAUGAAAUCAGCCAGUAAGCAUGCAGGGGAGUCUACAUGUGAGAUUGAACAGUCGGACCUCCAUCAUUACAUCAAUAACAUCAGUGAUAUUGACCGCCCUGCUUCAGAGCUGGACAUCUAUGUCCUUACAAAGAGUGACCUACUCCAGGGCCAAGGCAUCAGGGUCAAGGUAGUGGAUAAACAUGGGAAACCACUCGAUGAGCAAUCCUACCCAGGCACUGACUGCUCAGCAGGAUACAUCACACUCAAACUGACCAUGGAGCCAGAGACAGCUAAAAGUGAGAUGGGUCUGUUAUCUCACAUACAAGACCGAAUCCAAGGUGUUCAAACUGCGUACAGCGGCCAUUUUACCAUUGUUCAACCAGAUGGAUGUGAGACCAGGGUGAUGUCAGAGGGCCAGAAUUGCAUGUACCAUGCCUUAAUCCAGGCAACAUCCAGAAGCCAGGAGCAGGACAUCAAAGAACAGGCAAGGAUUCUGCGCAAAAAAGUACAAAGCGAGGUUCAGGAAAACCUCCCAACCUACUGUGAGUUAGUAAAACUCCAGAAGCGCUAUGAUAAUGUUAUGGAUCCUGGAAAAUAUUCCAUAUUGGGAGGGGUAAGGCCAGAAAAGAAGAUUAUCAGCCAGGACUACAGGGAUGCCAUCGCACCUAUGACGGAAACCGACUAUAUCAUUGCCCAGCUUUACGACCUUGGUUAUGUUGCCACAUACAAAGAUGUAAGAAACACCAUAUUGUCUGGAAGGUACGCUGUGGAAGCCGACCACAUCAUACCAAAGGACACAUUAAGGAAGGCACUAGUACACCGUGACUUGGAAAAACUCAAGAGUAAGAAUUCACAACUUUAUGCUCUAGUAACAAGUAUUCAAUCGGACCCAAAUGGAAGAUGCCACCUUGUCAUGCAGGUUCUCUACCAACAUCACCGCACUGCCUUGACAACUGGCAAUUGCAUGGAGGCCAAACUGUGCAGGGCACUGCUGGCUGACACACUCGUAAGUGGGAAUGCUGAGAAGAUGCUGAAGCAGGCCAUGAUUAUGGCCAAUCCUGUGUCCUCCCAGAAGCUUAGGGAUUAUGCAGGCCUCAGAAACCGCUCGUCCAUUGGAAAACAUCAAGACUUUUCAGAAAAUGGGACGAACUGCUACUACAAAGCUGGGUUCAUGAAUGUGUUCAGUGAGUAUCUGAAAAUUGGCAUCAUUGACCAGAACCAGCAUACGAGGCUAAAGUCAUGGGCCAAAGAAAACAGGCACCAGGACACAAACACAGAGGAGUUUAGAGAGAUACAAAGAAUAGUCGAAGGACAACAAGGUGAGAAAUCGAGGAAACGGGUGAGAGGAAACAUGCUCGGACCACAGACACAUCAAAGCCCCUGACAAAGUGGGAACAUUCUCUCUCCCUGUAUCCUAUAGUCAUUUACACAGAAUUUAGAUCAUGCAUUUAAUUAUGUUUGUAAAGGAAAAUAAUGUAGACAUCAGCUGUAUAUUGAUGACCAAUGUAGGGUCUUUGUAAGCCCGAAUGUCACAUGCUGGAGAAUGGUGAAUGAUUUCUUAUGUUUCUUCAUGAGGGACUUGGUUUUCUAUCUGUUACAUAAAAAAGGAAAAGACCCGACUCUCUGUUCAAGUCAUAGGCCUCUCUCCCUCAUCAAUAUUGACAUGAAAUUGUACGCCAAGGUUCUAGCCAAACACCUUGAAACUAUUUUGCAAAAACUAGUUCAUCCUGGUUUGUCAAAUAUCGAUUGGCGUCAGACAAUUGGAGACGUCUCCUACGUAUAAUACAAAUUACACCUGAUAUACCAUCCUCCUGUGCAGUCCUGUCAAUUGAUGCAGAGAUGGCCUUUGACUGUCUCGGGUUGGGUCUACCUCUGGUAAACUAUGGAACAUAUGGGAUUUGUUUAUGACUAUGUUGAAGACACUGUAUAGUAACCCCUCUUUAAUGGUCUUGAGAGUGUGAUGGAAAUGUGAUACAUUUGCUUUUCUUAUAACUAAUUUCUGUGUUCUAUUCAUGUGCUGUUCUAUAAACCAAUUUCUGUGUUCAUGCAAGUGACUGACUGAACGAACCCUCACUAUCAGUAACUGCAAUUUAGCAGUACGUCCAGACCUUGUUUUGAGAAUGAAAGACGUCUCAGCUUAGAGAGAAGAAGCCUCGUGAGGUAUUCGUUAUGAACCAGUAUUGGUCGGUCAUGUGAAUGAAACAAAACACAAAUAAUUAAUUAAUUAUGCUAAAUCAUGCAAAUGUAACUUGUAUGUGUAUAGCCGUAUAUAAGACAACUGCUGGGACAGCCCAGGCAGAGCUUCUGACCGACGUUCACAAUGGUAUGCUGACAAAUAAACAUUGAUUAAUUUAAGAUUUACUUCGAGGGUCCCUGUGUAAAAUUCCACAACAAUGUGUAACCAGUGCUCCUCAGUUUUCCAUCAAACGGUGAUCUCAUCAAGGCUGUCCAGUGUCCAGUCUCCUAUUUGCCAUAUCACUGGCACCUUUUGGAAGAAAUAAAAAUGUCAAUCCUACUUCAAUCGAGUACAGGCUUAACUGAAUGACAGAGACAAAAUGCAAUCUAGAAUUUUAUUGAAUUGUUUGGGGUAGACCUCAUCUCUGAGGAAUGCUCCUUGGCAUCAGAUGCUGAUGACAGGUUACCUUAUGCUAGGGCAGUUGGCAUCAAAACCCCCCAAAAAUAAAUACGUUACUCACCAGGGAGAAGGGACACAUGGAGCAAUGGUUGGAUAUUAAGACACUGGUAAAUAGAUGUAAAAGAGAUGCAUGCAAAGACUAGAACAAAAGUGCAAUUAUACUGUAUACUGUAAUGUAAAGUAUUAUAUGAAAUGUUUGUUAAUUACAUCUAACCAACCACACAUGAUGUAAUGCAAUAUGUAUGAUUAACGUGAAACUACAGCUGAGCUUUGAACCCAAUAGUGCAGAUCUUCAACCAAAACAUAAUAUUAGAUAAAAUAAAUCUGAAUGAACAAAUAAAACAACAAUUACAUAUUUAAUUUAUUUCAUAAACAAAGUUAUGCAACACCUAAUGCCCCUGUGUGAAAAAGUAAUUGCCCCCUUACACUCAAAAACUGGUUGUGCCACCUUUAGCUGCAAUGACUGCAACCAAAUGCUUCCUGUAGUUGUUGAUCAGUCUCUUGUGUCGCUGUGGAGGUAUUUUGGCCCAUUCUUCCAUGCAUAAUUGCUUUAACUCAGUGACAUUUGUGGCUAUUCAAGCAUGAACUGCUCGUUUCAAGUCCUGCCACAACAUCUAAAUUGGGAUUAGGUCUGGUCUUUGACUUGGUCAUUCCAAAACGUCAAAUUUGUUGCUUUUUGACCAUUUUCAUGUAGACUUGAUUGUGUGUUUUGGAUCACUGUUUUGCUGCAUGACACAGCUGCGCUUCAGCUCACAGAUGGAUGGCCUGACAUUCUCCUGUAGAAUUCAUGGUUCCUUCUAUUAAGGCAAGUUGUUCAGGUCCUGAGGCAGCAAAGCAUCCCCAAACCAUCAUACUACCACAACCAUGCUUGACCGUUGGUAUGAGGUUCUUACUGUAAAAUACAGUGUUUGGUUUUUGCCAGACAUAAUGGGACCCAUGUCCAAAAAGUUAUGUCCAUAGAACAUUCUUCCAAGGUGCUUCCAAGUGUUUUUCCACUCAAUUGUCCAGUGUUGGUGAUCGCGUGCCACUGGAGCCGCAAUAGCCCAUCCGUGACAAGGACCGGCGAGUUGUGUGUUCCGAGAUGCCGUUCUGCACACAACUAUUGUAUUGCGCUGUUUUUGCCUGUUUGUGGCCCACCUGUUAGCUUGCACAAUUCUUGCCAUUCUCCUUUGACCUCAUCAACUAGUUGUUUUCGCCCACAGGACUGCCGCUGACUGGAUGGAUUUUGUUCAUCGCAGAAUUCUCGGUAAACCCUAGACACUGUCUUGCAUGAAAAGACCAGGAAGCAGGACGUUUCUGAGGUACUGGAACCGGCGCGCAUGGCACCGAUGAUGAUGAGGAUACCAUACUUAUGUUGGUUAGGUCAUUAGUUUUGCCCAUUCUAAGAUUCAAUCAAACAGUAACUGAAUGCCUUGAUGCCUGUCUUCCUGCUUUAUAUAGCAAGCCAACGCCAUGUGACUCACUGUCUUUAGGAGCUAACCAUUUUCUUGAACCAGGUGGUGUACCUAAUAAACUGACAAAGAGGCCUCCCAC